UUUUUUUUUUUUUUUUUUUUUGUCUUUAGUAUUUUUAGGGCUGUACUCCUAGCAUAUGGAGGUUCCCAGGCUAGGGGUCAAAUUGGAGUUGUAAAUGUCAGCCUUCACCACAGCCACAGCAACUCGAGAUCAGAGCCACGUCUGCAACCUACACCACAGCUCAAGGCAACGCCAGAUCCUUAACCCACUGAACGAGGCCAGGAAACGAACCCACGUCCUCAUGGAUGCUAGUCUGGUUUGUUAACCACUGAGCCAGGACAGGAACUCCCCCAUUUCUAAUUUUUAUGCCAUUUCAUGCCUUUGCACCGUCUCAAGGAUGAGAUGGGCUGUCAGCUGCUUCCCAUUUGAAGGUAAUUCAAUAUUCAAAAUGGGUUUAUGGGGUUGUAUAAAACUAUACACUGGGUGAGAGCCAGAUGCCAAAGCAGAUAAAACAUAGUCCCAGUUCUAAGAUUCCAGCCUAGCAAGAGAAACGUACAAAAUUAAGUGCAAAGUGUCACAAGGGAGCAAAAUUACCCGGCCCUCAGCCAAGCCUAGGUCCAACUUGCAUUCAAAUAGGGCCUCACCCAGCUGACUGCUCACUUCUGCUGAAGAUUCUCCAGAGGUGCCUGUCUCACAAGGAGACAAAUACAGGCAGGCCCUGGCACCGUGGGAAUGCCCAGCCUCUCCCAGGGACGGUGCACUGAGGAAAUCACAUAUGUCUCUGACCACCGUUCUCAAACCAGGAUGCAGGGCUCUGGCUCACCAGGGGCAUCCUUGCAGCCACAGUGCUUUGUUGCAGAGAAACACAAUUCAAAAGGACUUGCCAAGCCAGGCUGGCAUUUGAGUAAUUAUAUUAAUGAAUCUCUGAGUUUCAAAAUCUAAUAUUAGACGGUGGCAUGAGGACCAUCAUCCUCAGUUACUGUCCCACGUGGCCAGGAAUGCUCCUGGGCAGCAGCAUGGCUUGAACAGACCCUGUGUGUGUGUGUGAGUGUGAGCGUCUACAUGAAUUCAGGAGCAUAAAAGGCAAUGAAAAGCAGAUUACUGCAAAACUUCCAGCAAUCAUCUGGUUAAUUACGAUAAUUACAUUCAUUUUUAUUUCAAACUGCAGUUCCAAACAGACUCUCAGGAAAGUGGCAUGACAGAGCAAAGAUCAGGAUCCCAAGAUUCAACCGAGCAUGCCCGGCCCAGGCACCUGGGCUUCCUGCACACUCUACCUGCCUUCCCCAUGCUCCAGGUAGUGGUGUCGAGAAACUGAGCGGGCCACAGCAGGGUGGGGGCAUCCAGCUGAUCUCCCCCUACCUAUGCUAGCAUGCUUCCUCUCAGGUCAGAGGCAGCAGGCUGACCAGGCGGGCUGGCCGGUGAGAAGGGAGACCAGUGUCAAAAACAGGCCAGGUUCUCACUCUCUGUUUCUACCCCACGUGCUCAGCUCAGCGGCUGGGGGAGCCCUUGAGCUGAGCCGCAGGCUGGGCUCCAUCCCCCUCUGUCUCAGCUCCCAGAGAGCAAGGGAGAUCAUAGGGACCACACAACUUUUUCUUCUGAGACUCCACCAAGGGCAGCAAUCCCAGGGAAGUUCACGGAGUGGCACGGCCCACGGAGGGAAGCCAAGGUGCUCAGAGAUCUGAAACCUGGGGUCCUUCUGCUGGAAACUCAUUGUGUGACCCAAGUACCUUGUCAUUUCGGGUACCGGGUUCCCUUCUCUGUAUGGUGGGAUAAUAAUACCUGUCCUGCCUAUAUCACUCAACCAUUGUGAGGAGGGAAUCCGCUCCAGGCAAGCUGAAAAGGCUCAGCCAGCUGACAAAAACAAGCUAAUUCCUCACUGUCUUUCAAGGUGCAGUUCAAGCAGGUCAUCUUCCAGGAAGCCUCCCAGGUCCUCAAGUCUGGUUCACCAAUCCCUCACUACACACAGAGACCCCUGUGUGUGUCACCUGGGUACGCACACUCACACCAGGAAGGCAGGCUUAAAACUAGAAUCAGUGCUAGAAUUUGGGUGGUUAACACACAAACAGGACUCAGCACGGUGCCUCGGCUACACUGAGCCUUCAGUGGAAAAAUGGUAUUAAGGCAGGAGAUGGAGCCCAUGGGUAUGCCCCCUUCUCUACCAACACUGAACAGAAAGUUGCUGGGAACCUGAACAAACGAGUGUCCCUUACGUUAUGGAGCGUCCCCCAAAUUAAUAGCAAAUGAUGGCCCUGACCCUGGGGCAGUGGCAUGCCAGGUCAUCAUUAGGACAUCAAAAGGGAGAAGAGUUAGGAGUUCCCACUGUGGCAUAAUAGGAUCGGCAGAGUCUCUGGAGCACUGGGAUGCAGGUUAGAGCCCAGCCCGGCACAGUGGAUUACGGAUAUGGUAUUGCUGCAGCUGCAGCAUAGGUCAAAACUGCAGCUCGGAUCAGAUCCCUGGCCCAGGAACUCCAUAUGCCGAGAGGCAGCCAAAAAAAGAAAAAAAAAAAGAAAGAAAAAAAAGUGAGAUGAGCCAGAACAUCCUCCCUAUCAAUGGACAGGCCACAGUAGCUGGUGGGGGUACAAGUCACUUAGGAGACAGGCCCACGAAGGGCAACCCCAAAAUAUAUUUUUUAAUCUUCAAUGGGCCAGAAAAUCAGACAUCAGAUAGCCAUAGAGACAAAGUAAGGAACCCAGGUACCCAGGGGGGUAAGGCCCAGUCCAGCCAAAGCCCCCUGCCACAGCCCCUCUGCACGCUGGGACCCUUUUCUAACGCCAGCAACUCUUCGGCUCAAACGUGCUUAAAAUGGCGACAGCGGCCUGCAGGGCCAGGCAUUUGUCGUACUGUUUGCCACGGUGCCCUCGGUGCCAAGAAAAACCUAUCAUGAGAAAUGCCAUCAGCUAUAUUUAUCUAUCUCUCAGCCCCCCAGCCUCCUCCUUCCGUCUGCCAACCAGGCCCUGCGGAGCCCCCCUCACCCAGUGGGCACACUUCCCUGUUGCUGACGCCUGUGACCACCUGCCCAAGCCUCGCUUCCCAGCGCUCUCUUCCCAGCCCUGGCAGUCAGGCCUCCACAGGCAAAACACCCUACAGGCAGCACCCCUUCUCACUGGUGUGUUGGGAUAUGCCCACAUAUACUCCAAGUUUGCACACUCACACACCCCCCAGGUACUGGUCACAGUGUGUCUAGUCCCAAACCACAAGCAUCAGUGGCGGCCCAUUUCCUUUCAGUAUCAGCUCCCUGCUCAUCAGGCAGGACCAGCCUGCCCUCCAAGUCCUAUAGGAGCCAUGGGCUGGGUCCUCGGGGCGGGGGGGGGGCACCCACGCUGCAGCGUCUCACAAGCCAGUCGUCAGGAGGAGCCAAGAGGCACAUGGUGAGAAAGCAAAGCUGGAAGGACAGGGGCUCCUCCCGGGCCUGUGUGCCAUUGCUGGCAGGACCCCCAGCUGCAGGGAAGACCUCUCACCCUUCCACUUCCCUGAAGGAGAGUGAGGUGCCCCAGCCUAUAUUUCAAAGUGCUAAGAAUUUCCAAGGAGUAUGCAUGUUAAAAGGACCCCCACCCCCUUCGCAUUCAACCAAGAGGGAAAUGGCAGAAUCUGGGAUGAUAAAGGGAAAACAGCAAAGUCAAGGCUCAGGACUACCCGGAUCCUACAGCUGUGACGAGGCCUCUGCUAGGGACACGGCUAACGGGAAUGUCUUUGGUGUCAGGCACUUCAGGCCUUUCCCUCCCCAAGCAGCAAGGCUCCAACCCGAUCCUUCCUACCCUCAGGCCUAGCACUGAACUUUAAAGGUGGAUCAGGGAGUACAUCCUAACCAACCACCCCCAACCUCCUCCUCUUGCUUCUGGAGGCAGCGCCCACUUCCCGCCCCAGCCUUCUCCCCAGAAGGCUGCCUCUUGCCGCCAAGCCCCCAACUCAGAAAAGAGUUCCAGGGAGCCAACUCCUCUGAGAAUGAAGCAACCCAAAUAAAAAUUUUAAAACCCAGAAGCUCUUUCUCUCCUGCCCCCUCCCCCUCCGCUGGCAAAUGAAAACAAACAAGAAAUCAAAGAGGCCUUUUGUGCGAGCACCGCGCUGACACUGCUGGGGCCUUUGAAAGGACUUCUGAAUCGGACACUGAAGGAUAAAAUAACUGAAGCGUGGCAGCUCCUGAGACAGGGGGGUGGGGUGGGGGUGGGACUGAUGGGGCAAAGAAAAAAAGGGGUGGGGAGGGAGACACCUUCUUCCCAGGGCAGAAAGGAGGGUGUUUAGCUGUGCCCUCUCUGCCCAGCAGCUGCAGGGCACCAAAACAGAGGGAGACCAUGGCACAGCCUUCUACCCCUCCGGCCUACUCUCCCUCAGCACACCAGGUCCCUGCAACUCUAGAAGGUGCCUCCUUCUUCACAGCCCACCUGGAGCUGUCCCUGAUGAAGCCCUGCUGAGUCUUCCUUCACCUCCUGCAUGGAUCACUGUGCAUUCACAUCUACAAGACAGUGCCUUCUAGAAGUUAUCAGGAGGCCUUCACCCAAAUCCUACAGGCCACAUGCAGGAGCCUCUCAUUCUUAGAAGGGCCUUGCUCACAGUAGGUUCACCACGUCCAUACGUAUUUCAUGAAUAAAGGAAAUACAACCAUCCUCUGGCAGUGCCAAAAAGUAAACCGAAUCCUCAGAACGUCCUUCUGUACGUCUGGACCCCAGCCCUCCUGCUACAGAGUGGCCCUGUUUCCUCUGGGUGGGCAGUGGAGCACAGCUGGUCACCAUGCUCAGGCUCCCAGGUCCCCUCUGGCUUAUUCACAGGCCCAAACUCUGCCAGCUCAAGCUUAGACAAAGGUAGCUCUUUUUUUUCCCCUGAGCCUACAGCUUCCAAUUCAGCCAUCAGACUGAGCACUCCACCAAGGUUCCCUGCACACCACAGCCAGCGGGGAUCCCAGACUGUCGGGGCAAACAUGUACGGCAAAGGGGAGCAGAGCAGUUGGUCAAGGCAGUCACAGGACUGGGUCUAGGCAUUUUUAACCUCCUCUUUGGGGUCACGCCCACUCCAAAGCCAGCCUGAGCUGCACCACCCUUUCACACCGUCCAGAACCGGGCACCCCAUAUCACAUUAACAGGGCAAAGGCAGCGGGAGUCAGCUUCUCAGGUGUGUGACCCGGGCAGUCGCACGGAUCCCGUGCUUGGUUUAAUGAUCUAACGAUUGUCCCACUGCAAUCCUAAUCAUUGUGAACUAGGAGCCCCUCAUUUUCAUUUUGCAUUAGGCCUCGCAAAUUA
rnacentral:lncRNA from 1 species